AAGCGUCGAAGUAUAACAGCGUACCGGAAAGCCUUGUUAUGCGGAGCUUUCAGUAGGGGUUAUGCAGUAACCUCAAACCGGAGUAGGCUUUAGCCGAAAGAAAAUGCUUAAA
ncrna:unclassified sequences drum RNA